UCUCGUCUAUACUCUUGGGAGUGGCGCCUUUUAAAGAGUUUUCUUUUCUUUUUUUGGGUCACGUCUGGUUGGAUCCAUUCAGUCGGUUUGGAACCACUAGACGUGAUUCAUCUAAUACUGGUAUUUGUCUAAACCAUGUCAUCUUUUACAGGUAAGA